GCUUACGGCCAUACCAGCCUGAAUACGCCCGAUCUCGUCUGAUCUUGGAAGCUAAGCAGGGUCGGGCCUGGUUAGUACUUGGAUGGGAGACCGCCUGGGAAUACCAGGUGCUGUAAGCU
rnacentral:rRNA from 1 species